GCCGUGCUAGCUCAGUCAGGCAGAGCGCCCGCCAAGCCGGCGGGAGGUCGCGGGUUCGAAUCCAGCCCACGGUU
rnacentral:tRNA from 1 species